rnacentral:rRNA from 1 species
GUAGGUGGCAAGCGUUGUCCGGAAUUAUUGGGCGUAAAGCGCGCGCAGGUGGUUCUUUAAGUCUGAUGUGAAAGCCCCCGGGCUCAACCGGGGAGGGUCAUUGGAAGCUGGGGAACUUGAGUGCAGGAGAGGAAAGUGGAAUUCCACGUGUAGCGGUGAAAUGCGUAGAUAUGUGGAGGAACACCAGUGGCGAAGGCGACUUUCUGGCCUGUAACUGACACUGAGGCGCGAAAGCGUGGGGAGCAAACAGGAUUAGAUACCCUGGUAGUCCACGCCGUAAACGAUGAGUGCUAAGUGUUGGGGGGUUUCCGCCCCUCAGUGCUGCAGCUAACGCAUUAAGCACUCCGCCUGGGGAGGACGGUCGCAAGACUG